rnacentral:rRNA from 1 species
GAUGAACGCUGGCGGCGUGCCUAAUACAUGCAAGUCGAGCGAACAGACGAGGAGCUUGCUCCUCUGACGUUAGCGGCGGACGGGUGAGUAACACGUGGAUAACCUACCUAUAAGACUGGGGUAACUUCGGGAAACCGGCGCUAAUACCGGAUAAUAUAUUGAACCGCAUGGUUCAAUAGUGAAAGACGGUUUUGCUGUCACUUAUAGAUGGAUCCGCGCCGCAUUAGCUAGUUGGUAAGGUAACGGCUUACCAAGGCAACGAUGCGUAGCCGACCUGAGAGGGUGAUCGGCCACACUGGAACUGAGACACGGUCCAGACUCCUACGGGAGGCAGCAGUAGGGAAUCGUCCGCAAUGGGCGAAAGCCUGACGGAGCAACGCCGCGUGAGUGAUGAAGGUCUUCGGAUCGUAAAACUCUGUUAUUAGGGAAGAACAAAUGUGUAAGUAACUAUGCACGUCUUGACGGUACCUAAUCAGAAAGCCACGGCUAACUACGUG